rnacentral:other from 1 species
GCUGACCUGCCGUGUUUGUGAUGGCGCAGUGCGUUUGAGCCAACACCCAUUUUUAGGAAGUCGCCGUCUGAUGCCCCGGUGAUAGGCUUGAGCCAAGACCUAUACAUCAGGAGGAUUUCCACCUGCGAAAGCAGGUUCAAACAUCGCGACCACACGGCAUGGCGGGACACCC